ACGCUGGCGGCGUGCUUACACAUGCAAGUCGAGCGAUGAAACUACUUCGGUAGUGAAUUAGCGGCGAACGGGUGAGGAACACGUGAGGAAUCUGCCUUCAACACUGGGAUAACUCCGGGAAACCGGGGCUAAUACCGGAUACGAGCCUUGAUCGCAUGAUCGAGGCUGGAAAGUUUUUCGGUUGAAGAUGACCUCGCGGCCUAUCAGCUUGUUGGUGAGGUAAUGGCUCACCAAGGCGACGACGGGUAGCCGGCCUGAGAGGGCGACCGGCCACACUGGGACUGAGACACGGCCCAGACUCCUACGGGAGGCAGCAGUGGGGAAUAUUGGGCAAUGGAGGAAACUCUGACCCAGCGACGCCGCGUGCGGGAUGAAGGCCUUCGGGUUGUAAACCGCUUUCAGUAGGGAAGAAGCGAAAGUGACGGUACCUACAGAAGAAGCACCGGCUAACUAUGUGCCAGCAGCCGCGGUAAUACAUAGGGUGCAAGCGUUGUCCGGAAUUAUUGGGCGUAAAGAGCUCGUAGGUGGUUUGAUACGUCGGGUGUGAAAUUCAGGGGCUCAACCCCUGACCUGCAUUCGAUACGGUCAAGCUAGAGUUUGGUAGGGGAGACUGGAAUUCCUGGUGUAGCGGUGGAAUGCGCAGAUAUCAGGAGGAACACCGAUGGCGAAGGCAGGUCUCUGGGCCAAUACUGACACUGAGGAGCGAAAGCGUGGGGAGCGAACAGGAUUAGAUACCCUGGUAGUCCACGCCGUAAACGGUGGGCGCUAGUUGUGCGAACCUUCCACGGUUGUGCGACGCAGCUAACGCAUUA
rnacentral:rRNA from 1 species